UACGUAGGGGGCAAGCGUUGUUCGGAAUUACUGGGCGUAAAGGGAGCGUAGGCGGGAGAGUAAGUUGGAAGUUUAAUUCUUCGGCUUAACCGGGGACCAGCUUUCAAUACUGCUUUUCUUGAGUGUGGAAGAGGGAGACGGAAUUCCAGGUGUAGCGGUGGAAUGCGUAGAUAUCUGGAAGAACACCAGUAGCGAAGGCGGUCUCCUGGUCCAUUACUGACGCUGAGGCUCGAGAGCUAGGGGAGCAAACAGG
rnacentral:rRNA from 1 species